AACUGGGCAUCUGUGGACACGGCGUAGUUCACUCAGUCUUCCCCACAGUUCACCCCGUUUAAGGCAUUGAAGCAGAACUUGAAUGUGCAAGCCAAAGUCAGCAGGAGCCAGAGAGUGCAGGAUGUUGCUGUGAAUUUGGCCAAAACUGACUGGUCUGGCAUCAAAUAACUUGAGCCGCAUUCCCAGCCUUGGUGCCCUUGGCACUACAGGAGUAAUGCCAAAGCUGACUUGACGGACAGCCCGACUCUCUGCCCGCUGGAGGCAGGGCACAGGGCUUCCGUUUCCCGGGAGGGCUCAGGGAGGACUGGGGUCUCCGUGUCCAGUCAAGAUUUCUGGAAUUGACAACACUUGACGGCCAGUGUGUCCUCUUCUCCUUCUGGGUGACGUGGAGUGCUUGCAUGAGCUGAGAUAGGUGUCACUGUGGGGGAACCGAAUCACAGGGCACAAAGCUGGGUCCCCCCAAGAAGGGCUGGAGCUGGGCAAGAAGGGGUCUGCUGGUUCAGGGCUUGAGCUCCAGCCACGCUGCCCUCUAGGCUCCGCCUUUCCUAGCUGGCAUGAG
rnacentral:lncRNA from 1 species